rnacentral:rRNA from 1 species
UACGUAGGGUGCGAGCGUUAAUCGGAAUUACUGGGCGUAAAGCGUGCGCAGGCGGUUAUAUAAGACAGAUGUGAAAUCCCCGGGCUCAACCUGGGAACUGCAUUUGUGACUGCAAGGCUAGAGUACGGCAGAGGGGGAUGGAAUUCCGCGUGUAGCAGUGAAAUGCGUAGAUAUGCGGAGGAACACCAAUGGCGAAGGCAAUCCCCUGGGCCUGUACUGACGCUCAUGCACGAAAGCGUGGGGAUCAAACAGG